UUAAGCGACUAAGCGUACACGGUGGAUGCCCUGGCAGUCAGAGGCGAUGAAGGACGUGCUAAUCUGCGAUAAGCGUCGGUAAGGUGAUAUGAACCGUUAUAACCGGCGAUUUCCGAAUGGGGAAACCCAGUGUGAUUCGUCACACUAUCAUUAACUGAAUCCAUAGGUUAAUGAGGCGAACCGGGGGAACUGAAACAUCUAAGUACCCCGAGGAAAAGAAAUCAACCGAGAUUCCCCCAGUAGCGGCGAGCGAACGGGGAGCAGCCCAGAGCCUGAAUCAGUGUGUGUUAGUGGAAGCGUCUGGAAAGGCGCGCGAUACAGGGUGACAGCCCCGUACACAAAAAUGCACAUACUGUGAGCUCGAUGAGUAGGGCGGGACACGUGGUAUCCUGUCUGAAUAUGGGGGGACCAUCCUCCAAGGCUAAAUACUCCUGACUGACCGAUAGUGAACCAGUACCGUGAGGGAAAGGCGAAAAGAACCCCGGCGAGGGGAGUGAAAAAGAACCUGAAACCGUGUACGUACAAGCAGUGGGAGCCUCUUUAUGGGGUGACUGCGUACCUUUUGUAUAAUGGGUCAGCGACUUAUAUUCUGUAGCAAGGUUAACCGAAUAGGGGAGCCGAAGGGAAACCGAGUCUUAACUGGGCGUUAAGUUGCAGGGUAUAGACCCGAAACCCGGUGAUCUAGCCAUGGGCAGGUUGAAGGUUGGGUAACACUAACUGGAGGACCGAACCGACUAAUGUUGAAAAAUUAGCGGAUGACUUGUGGCUGGGGGUGAAAGGCCAAUCAAACCGGGAGAUAGCUGGUUCUCCCCGAAAGCUAUUUAGGUAGCGCCUCGUGAAUUCAUCUCCGGGGGUAGAGCACUGUUUCGGCAAGGGGGUCAUCCCGACUUACCAACCCGAUGCAAACUGCGAAUACCGGAGAAUGUUAUCACGGGAGACACACGGCGGGUGCUAACGUCCGUCGUGAAGAGGGAAACAACCCAGACCGCCAGCUAAGGUCCCAAAGUCAUGGUUAAGUGGGAAACGAUGUGGGAAGGCCCAGACAGCCAGGAUGUUGGCUUAGAAGCAGCCAUCAUUUAAAGAAAGCGUAAUAGCUCACUGGUCGAGUCGGCCUGCGCGGAAGAUGUAACGGGGCUAAACCAUGCACCGAAGCUGCGGCAGCGACACUAUGUGUUGUUGGGUAGGGGAGCGUUCUGUAAGCCUGUGAAGGUGUGCUGUGAAGUAUGCUGGAGGUAUCAGAAGUGCGAAUGCUGACAUAAGUAACGAUAAAGCGGGUGAAAAGCCCGCUCGCCGGAAGACCAAGGGUUCCUGUCCAACGUUAAUCGGGGCAGGGUGAGUCGACCCCUAAGGCGAGGCCGAAAGGCGUAGUCGAUGGGAAACAGGUUAAUAUUCCUGUACUUGGUGUUACUGCGAAGGGGGGACGGAGAAGGCUAUGUUGGCCGGGCGACGGUUGUCCCGGUUUAAGCGUGUAGGCUGGUUUUCCAGGCAAAUCCGGAAAAUCAAGGCUGAGGCGUGAUGACGAGGCACUACGGUGCUGAAGUAACAAAUGCCCUGCUUCCAGGAAAAGCCUCUAAGCAUCAGGUAACAUCAAAUCGUACCCCAAACCGACACAGGUGGUCAGGUAGAGAAUACCAAGGCGCUUGAGAGAACUCGGGUGAAGGAACUAGGCAAAAUGGUGCCGUAACUUCGGGAGAAGGCACGCUGAUAUGUAGGUGAAGUCCCUUGCGGAUGGAGCUGAAAUCAGUCGAAGAUACCAGCUGGCUGCAACUGUUUAUUAAAAACACAGCACUGUGCAAACACGAAAGUGGACGUAUACGGUGUGACGCCUGCCCGGUGCCGGAAGGUUAAUUGAUGGGGUUAGCGGUAACGCGAAGCUCUUGAUCGAAGCCCCGGUAAACGGCGGCCGUAACUAUAACGGUCCUAAGGUAGCGAAAUUCCUUGUCGGGUAAGUUCCGACCUGCACGAAUGGCGUAAUGAUGGCCAGGCUGUCUCCACCCGAGACUCAGUGAAAUUGAACUCGCUGUGAAGAUGCAGUGUACCCGCGGCAAGACGGAAAGACCCCGUGAACCUUUACUAUAGCUUGACACUGAACAUUGAGCCUUGAUGUGUAGGAUAGGUGGGAGGCUUUGAAGUGUGGACGCCAGUCUGCAUGGAGCCGACCUUGAAAUACCACCCUUUAAUGUUUGAUGUUCUAACGUUGGCCCCUGAUCGGGGUUGCGGACAGUGUCUGGUGGGUAGUUUGACUGGGGCGGUCUCCUCCUAAAGAGUAACGGAGGAGCACGAAGGUUGGCUAAUCCUGGUCGGACAUCAGGAGGUUAGUGCAAUGGCAUAAGCCAGCUUGACUGCGAGCGUGACGGCGCGAGCAGGUGCGAAAGCAGGUCAUAGUGAUCCGGUGGUUCUGAAUGGAAGGGCCAUCGCUCAACGGAUAAAAGGUACUCCGGGGAUAACAGGCUGAUACCGCCCAAGAGUUCAUAUCGACGGCGGUGUUUGGCACCUCGAUGUCGGCUCAUCACAUCCUGGGGCUGAAGUAGGUCCCAAGGGUAUGGCUGUUCGCCAUUUAAAGUGGUACGCGAGCUGGGUUUAGAACGUCGUGAGACAGUUCGGUCCCUAUCUGCCGUGGGCGCUGGAGAACUGAGGGGGGCUGCUCCUAGUACGAGAGGACCGGAGUGGACGCAUCACUGGUGUUCGGGUUGUCAUGCCAAUGGCACUGCCCGGUAGCUAAAUGCGGAAGAGAUAAGUGCUGAAAGCAUCUAAGCACGAAACUUGCCCCGAGAUGAGUUCUCCCUGACCCUUUAAGGGUCCUGAAGGAACGUUGAAGACGACGACGUUGAUAGGCCGGGUGUGUAAGCGCAGCGAUGCGUUGAGCUAACCGGUACUAAUGAACCGUGAGGCUUAACCU
rnacentral:rRNA from 1 species